UACGUAGGGUGCAAGCGUUAAUCGGAAUUACUGGGCGUAAAGCGUGCGCAGGCGGUUCGCUAAGACCGAUGUGAAAUCCCCGGGCUUAACCUGGGAACUGCAUUGGUGACUGGCGGGCUAGAGUAUGGCAGAGGGGGGGUAGAAUUCCACGUGUAGCAGUGAAAUGCGUAGAGAUGUGGAGGAACACCGAUGGCAGGAAGGCCAGCCCCCUGGGUCAAGAUUGACGCUCAUGCACGAAAGCGUGGGGAUCAAACAGG
rnacentral:rRNA from 1 species